AUGAAUUAAUUAAAAGAACAAAAAAAAAAAAAUUCCAGCUCAAAGCAGUACUACCCCCCACUUCACAAAAUCUCUUUCCCACUGUUCAAGUCUAAACGCCCAAAACCGGCAGUAUGGACUAGAGACUGCAGAUUUGAUUCUCAACCUUUACCUUCCACGACUCCUCUCCCUCUCUCUUUGUCCUCGAUUUCGAUCGACAGCGAGAGACAGAAAUCGACAAAUCGUCGAACAGAAAGAAGAUGAUCGUCCGCAUCCGAAGCCGCGACGGCCUGGAGCGCGUCACCUUCCCCGACGGCGGCGCCGCCACCGUCGCCACCCUCCACUCCCUCAUCGAGUCCCAGCUCGGCGUCCCGACCGCCGCCCAGACCCUCUCCCUCGACCCGAACCUCCUCCUCUCCUCCCCCGCCGCUGCUUCCGCCGCCCCCUGCCUUUCCGACCCCUCCGCCUCCCUCUCCUCCCUUGGCCUCUCCCACGGCUCUGUCGUCUUCCUCUCCUACUCCGGUUUCUCCCGCUCCGCGGCCCCUAGGUCUCCCCCUCUUACACCCGCGGGCUCCUUCGGCCGCAAGAUGACCGUGGACGAUCUUGUCGCCCGCCAGAUCCGUGUCUCCCGUCAAGAAGCCCCGCACUGCUCCUCCGCCUCCUUCGACCGCGACGCCGCCCACGCCUUCCAGCUCUACGUCGCCGAGACCCUCGCCUUCGCCGUCAAGCGCGGCGGCUUCCUCUACGGCCACGUCGUCGACGGCGGUGCCGUUGCUGUCGACUUCAUCUACGAGCCCCCCCAGCGGGGAACCGUGGAGGCCCUCGCCCUCCUCCGGGAUCCCGAUGAGGAGGCCCUCGUGGAGGCAAUCGCCACCGGCCUCGGUAUGCACCGCGUCGGCUUCGUUUUUACGCAGGCCGUCGGCCGGAAGCGGGGCACCGGGGAGUAUACGAUGUCUGCUCGGGAGGUGCUGCAGGCCGCCGAGAUCCAGGCCGAGGGGGGGAUCCCGGAGUGGGUCACCGCCGUGGUCAAGUUGGAGGUGGGCGAGGAUGGCGCCGCCGACGUGCACUUUGAGGCGUUCCAGAUGAGCGAUACGUGCGUCCGGCUGUUCAAGGAGGGGUGGUUUGUGACGGACUUCGGUGAGGAUGAUGAUCCGAGGCUGUCGAGGAUGAAGAAGAAUGUGGUUGUUGGUGGGAAGGAUGUGAGGGAGGUCGACAAUGACUUCUUCCUGGUGCCUGUCAAGAUCUCCGAUCACCAGGAAUUGGGCUUGUCGGCAUGCUUAUUCUGCAUCUUCUAAGACUAUAUCCAAAUCUUGAUCGGGCCAUGGUCAAAUGGUGGCUGCUCAAUCCAUGAAUCUAGCAGGAAAUUCAGCACAAUUUUACUAGAUUAACCAAAUAGGCCCUUAGUGGGAUCACUGUCAUCAAGUUUUCCUAUAGAGAACCGUGUUACUACUGUCACGCUGAAGGAUCUGAAGAACCACAUGGAUAGGACAAAGCACCUCCCGUUUGUGAAACGAAUCUCAGAUUUUCACCUGCUGCUUCUCCUUUCCAGGUUUUUAGAUGCUAAUGCUGAUGUCCCAGCAC